UACGUAGGGGGCAAGCGUUGUCCGGAAUCAUUGGGCGUAAAGAGCGCGUAGGCGGUCCGGUAAGUCCGCUCUGAAAGUCCGGGGCUCAACCCGGGAGGCGGGCGGAUACUGUCGGGCUAGAGUCCGGAAGAGGCGAGUGGAAUUCCUGGUGUAGCGGUGAAAUGCGCAGAUAUCAGGAGGAACACCGAUGGCGAAGGCAGCUCGCUGGGACGUAACUGACGCUGAGACGCGAAAGCGUGGGGAGCAAACAGG
rnacentral:rRNA from 1 species